rnacentral:rRNA from 1 species
AAUCAACGCUGGCGGCGUGCCUCAGACAUGCAAGUCGAACGAUUAAAGCUCCCUUCGGGGAGUGCAUAAAGUGGCGCACGGGUGAGUAACACGUAAGUAAUCUACCUUCGAGUGGGGAAUAACGUUCGGAAACGAACGCUAAUACCGCAUAAUGCAGCGGCAUCGCAAGAUGACAGUUGUUAAAGGAGCAAUCCGCUUGAAGAGGAGCUUGCGGCAGAUUAGCUAGUUGGUAAGGUAACGGCUUACCAAGGCUACGAUCUGUAUCCGGCCUGAGAGGGCGGUCGGACACACUGACACUGAAUAACGGGUCAGACUCCUACGGGAGGCAGCAGUCGGGAAUUUUGGGCAAUGGGCGAAAGCCUGACCCAGCAACGCCGCGUGAAGGAUGAAGUAUUUCGGUAUGUAAACUUCGAAAGAAUAGGAAGAAUAAAUGACGGUACUAUUUAUAAGCUCCGGCUAACUACGUGCCAGCCGCCGCUGUAACAC